rnacentral:rRNA from 1 species
AACGAACGCUGGCGGCAGGCCUAACACAUGCAAGUCGAGCGAGGACUGCGGUCCUAGCGGCGGACGGGGGAUUAACGCGUGGGAACGUGCCCUUUGCUUCCGUACAUCCCAGGGAAACUGGGAGUAAUACCGGGUUAGCUCAUACGGGGUAAGAUUUAUCGGCGAAGGAUAGGUCCGCAUUGGAUUAGGUAGCUGGUGUGGUAAUGGACUAUCAAGCCGACGAGCCAUAGCUGGUAUGAGCGGAUGAUCAGCCACACUGGGACUGAGACACGGCCCAGACUCCUACGGGAGGCAGCAGUGGGGAAUCUUAGACAAUGGGGGAGACACUGAUCUAGCCAUGCCGCGUGAGCGAUGAAGGCCUUAGGAUUGUGAAGCUCUUUCAGCUGGGAAGAUAAUGACGGUACCAGCAGAAGAAGCCCCGGCUAACUCCGUG